CGACUCUGCCCGUAAGCAAUCUCCCAACUCAUCUGGUAUAAAUCGCAAUGACUCUCUACGGUUCAUUUUGAAGAAGCCGAGGAAAAGUGUUAACGAAUUACAAUGGAAAAAGCUGUUUAUAUGGUCAACGGUUUGUUGAAAAUUAAACUACUUGGAAUGCCACAAGAGAAUCGCUUUCUUGUCUAAAGAAAGAUUGCGCGAAUGAGCUGCAUCUUGGAAAAGAAGCUUUGAAGAUUUAUUUGUAUCUGCUACUUGGAAACGUUGAAAA